rnacentral:rRNA from 1 species
GGGGAAUUUUGCGCAAUGGGCGAAAGCCUGACGCAGCAACGCCGCGUGAGUGAUGAAGGCCCUCGGGUCGUAAAGCUCUGUCAGAGGGGAAGAAACUUUUGAGGGAGAAUAUCCCUUGAAACUGACGGUACCCUCAAAGGAAGCACCGGCUAACUCCGUGCCAGCAGCCGCGGUAAUACGGAGGGUGCAAGCGUUGUUCGGAAUUAUUGGGCGUAAAGCGCGUGUAGGCGGCUAUUUAAGUCUGAUGUGAAAGCCCGGGGCUCAACCUCGGAAGUGCAUUGGAAACUGGAUAGCUUGAGUACGGGAGAGGGUAGUGGAAUUUCGAGUGUAGGGGUGAAAUCCGUAGAUAUUCGAAGGAACACCGGUGGCGAAGGCGGCUACCUGGACCGAUACUGACGCUGAGACGCGAAAGCGUGGGGAGCAAAC